UGGGGAAUAUUGCACAAUGGGCGCAAGCCUGAUGCAGCCAUGCCGCGUGUGUGAAGAAGGCCUUCGGGUUGUAAAGCACUUUCAGCGAGGAGGAAGGUGGUGAGCUUAAUACGCUCAUCAAUUGACGUUACUCGCAGAAGAAGCACCGGCUAACUCCGUGCCAGCAGCCGCGGUAAUACGGAGGGUGCAAGCGUUAAUCGGAAUUACUGGGCGUAAAGCGCACGCAGGCGGUUUGUUAAGUCAGAUGUGAAAUCCCCGGGCUCAACCUGGGAACUGCAUUUGAAACUGGCAAGCUAGAGUCUCGUAGAGGGGGGUAGAAUUCCAGGUGUAGCGGUGAAAUGCGUAGAGAUCUGGAGGAAUACCGGUGGCGAAGGCGGCCCCCUGGACGAAGACUGACGCUCAGGUGCGAAAGCGUGGGGAGCAAAACAGGAUUAGAUACCCCUGGUAGUCCACGCUGUAAACGAUGUCGAUUUUGGAGGUUGUGCCCUUGAGGCGUGGCUUCCGGAGCUAACGCGUUAAAUCGACCGCCUGGGGAGUACGGCCGCAAGGUUAAAACUCAAAGGAAUUG
rnacentral:rRNA from 1 species